UGAGCUGUGACCCCUUGUGGGGCGAGCGUCCGCAGCUCCAAGACUUCGUCACUCGUAAUGGCAGCAGAAUCAACACCCAAACCCACUAUGCUAUGCCUCUUAUGUCUAUGACAGCUGACAGGAAGCUUUACAUCCGUGACCAUCCUGGCACCCGGAGUUACGAAGGGUGGGGGGGAGGAGUAUUGUAGGGGACACCCUACAAAAUCUCACGAUCAAGCACUCACCUGAUCCACACAUUGAUUCGGCAUCAGCAUUUUUGUCAACCAUGGGCGAGAUCACGAUCGAGCACUCUCUCCUGAUCCAAAUGCCGAUUGGCUAUUGGACUAGCCAAGGACAACGCUGCUGGACCAAUCACAGACCACAACUCAGGUAUACAGGUAUAAUCACGUGACAGCAGCUAACUAGAUCAUCAAUCCUCUCCAGCCACAGAAGCAACAACUCCUCUCUCCCAGCACCAGACUAACUGCAGCUUCCAGCACUCUGCUGUUAUUCUAUAGAAUAAACUUUAUUUUUAUUC